rnacentral:rRNA from 1 species
GAUGAACGCUGGCGGCGUGCCUAAUACAUGCAAGUCGAGCGAACGGACGAGAAGCUUGCUUCUCUGAUGUUAGCGGCGGACGGGUGAGUAACACGUGGAUAACCUACCUAUAAGACUGGGAUAACUUCGGGAAACCGGAGCUAAUACCGGAUAAUAUUUUGAACCGCAUGGUUCAAAAGUGAAAGACGGUCUUGCUGUCACUUAUAGAUGGAUCCGCGCUGCAUUAGCUAGUUGGUAAGGUAACGGCUUACCAAGGCAACGAUGCAUAGCCGACCUGAGAGGGUGAUCGGCCACACUGGAACUGAGACACGGUCCAGACUCCUACGGGAGGCAGCAGUAGGGAAUCUUCCGCAAUGGGCGAAAGCCUGACGGAGCAACGCCGCGUGAGUGAUGAAGGUCUUCGGAUCGUAAAACUCUGUUAUUAGGGAAGAACAUAUGUGUAAGUAACUGUGCACAUCUUGACGGUACCUAAUCAGAAAGCCACGGCUAACUACGUGCCAGCAGCCGCGGUAAUACGUAGGUGGCAAGCGUUAUCCGGAAUUAUUGGGCGUAAAGCGCGCGUAGGCGGUUUUUUAGUCUGAUGUGAAAGCCCACGGCUCAACUGUGGAGGGUCAUUGGAAACUGGAAAACUUGAGUGCAGAAGAGGAAAGUGGAAUUCCAUGUGUAGCGGUGAAAUGCGCAGAGAUAUGGAGGAACACCAGUGGCGAAGGCGACUUUCUGGUCUGUAACUGACGCUGAUGUGCGAAAGCGUGGGGAUCAAACAGGAUUAGAUACCCUGGUAGUCCACGCCGUAAACGAUGAGUGCUAAGUGUUAGGGGGUUUCCGCCCCUUAGUGCUGCAGCUAACGCAUUAAGCACUCCGCCUGGGGAGUACGACCGCAAGGUUGAAACUCAAAGGAAUUGACGGGGACCCGCACAAGCGGUGGAGCAUGUGGUUUAAUUCGAAGCAACGCGAAGAACCUUACCAAAUCUUGACAUCCUUUGACAACUCUAGAGAUAGAGCUUUCCCCUUCGGGGGACAAAGUGACAGGUGGUGCAUGGUUGUCGUCAGCUCGUGUCGUGAGAUGUUGGGUUAAGUCCCGCAACGAGCGCAACCCUUAAGCUUAGUUGCCAUCAUUAAGUUGGGCACUCUAAGUUGACUGCCGGUGACAAACCGGAGGAAGGUGGGGAUGACGUCAAAUCAUCAUGCCCCUUAUGAUUUGGGCUACACACGUGCUACAAUGGACAAUACAAAGGGCAGCGAAACCGCGAGGUCAAGCAAAUCCCAUAAAGUUGUUCUCAGUUCGGAUUGUAGUCUGCAACUCGACUACAUGAAGCUGGAAUCGCUAGUAGUCGUAGAUCAGCAUGCUACGGUGAAUACGUUCCCGGGUCU